rnacentral:rRNA from 1 species
GGCGAAUUUCGCCCUUGGAUUCCAGACUUKGAUCAUAGAGCUCGGGAUGAACGCUAGCUACAGGGCUUAACACAAUUGCAAGUCGAAGGGGAAACGACAUCGAAAGCUUGCUUUUGAUGGGCGGUCGACCGGCGCACGGGUGAGUAACGCGUAUCCAACCUGCCCAUCACUUGGGGAUAACCUUGCGAAAGUAAGACUAAUACCCAAUGACGUCUCUAGAAGACAUCUGAAAGAGAUUAAAGAUUUAUCGGUGAUGGAUGGGGAUGCGUCUGAUUAGCUUGUUGGCGGGGUAAACGGCCCACCAAGGCAACGAUCAGUAGGGGUUCUGAGAGGAAGGUCCCCCACAUUGGAACUGAGACACGGUCCAAACUCCUACGGGAGGCAGCAGUGAGGAAUAUUGGUCAAUGGGCGAGAGCCUGAACCAGCCAAGUAGCGUGCAGGAUGACGGCCCUAUGGGUUGUAAACUGCUUUUAUAAGGGAAUAAAGUGAGUCUCGUGAGACUUUUUGCAUGUACCUUAUGAAUAAGGACCGGCUAAUUCCGUGCCAGCAGCCGCGGUAAUACGGAAGGUCCGGGCGUUAUCCGGAUUUAUUGGGUUUAAAGGGAGCGUAGGCCGGAGAUUAAGCGUGUUGUGAAAUGUAGACGCUCAACGUCUGCACUGCAGCGCGAACUAGUUUCCUUGAGUACGCACAAAGUGGGCGGAAUUCGUGGUGUAGCGGUGAAAUGCUUAGAUAUCACGAAGAACUCCGAUUGCGAAGGCAGCUCACUGGGAGCGCAACUGACGCUGAAGCUCGAAAGUGCGGGUAUCGAACAGGAUUAGAUACCCUGGUAGUCCGCACGGUAAACGAUGGAUGCCCGCUGUUGGUCUGAAUAGGUCAGCGGCCAAGCGAAAGCAUUAAGCAUCCCACCUGGGGAGUACGCCGGCAACGGUGAUUCUCAAAGGAAUUGACGG